rnacentral:rRNA from 1 species
UACGUAGGGGGCAAGCGUUGUCCGGAUUUAUUGGGCGUAAAGAGCGUGUAGGCGGCUAGGCAGGUCUGCUGUGAAAACUCGAGGCUCAACCUCGAGAUGUCGGCGGAAACCGUCUGGCUAGAGUCCGGAAGAGGAGAGUGGAAUUCCUGGUGUAGCGGUGAAAUGCGCAGAUAUCAGGAAGAACACCUAUGGCGAAGGCAGCUCUCUGGGACGGUACUGACGCUGAGACGCGAAAGCGUGGGGAGCGAACAGG